GCAUAUCAAUAAGCGGAGGAAAAGAAAAUAACAAUGAUUCCCCUAGUAACUGCGAGUGAAGAGGGACAAGCUCAAAUUUUAAAUCUGUCAGGUUCUACCUGAUCGAGUUGUAAUUUGAAGAUGGCGUUUUCUGUGUUUCUGAUCAGUCCAAGUCCUUUGGGAUAAGGCAUCAUGGAGGGUGAGAAUCCCGUUCGGUUGAUCAGAUUCGCUUUACGAUACGUUAUCAAAGAGUCAAGUUGUUUGGGAUUGCAGCUUAAAAUGGGAGGUAAAUUUCUCCUAAGGCUAAAUAACGGCGAGAGACCGAUAGCGAACAAGUACCGUGAGGGAAAGAUGAAAAGAACUUUGAAAAGAGAGUUAAACAGUACGUGAAAUUGUUGAAAGGGAAACGAUUGAAGCCAGUCGUACCUUCGGGUAAUCAGCCUUUUGGGUGUGAUUUUGUGGAGCGUGAAGAGUUAAACGCCUUCAUGCCUGCAUAUUCGUGCACUUUGGGUGUACUUGCCCGUAUGGUUGGUUAACAUCAAUUUUGGUGGUCAUAAAAUGACUGGAGGAAUGUAGCUUCGAUCUUGUAUUGAAGUGUUAUAGCCUUCGGUAGAUGUGAUGAUCGAGAUUGAGGAUUGCAACGGAUACCCUUCGGGGCUACCUGUCUGGUCUCUGAUCG
rnacentral:rRNA from 1 species